rfam:Desulfosporosinus sp. OL contig00027, whole genome shotgun sequence.
ACAAUGAUACUCCUGCAUAGUCGAGGUUGAGUCCCAGAGUGCAGCCCGGAGGUUCUCGGGGAGGUGAGAUUCCUGUGA